CGUGGUAGAUGGUUGCGCGCGUCCGUUUUGGGCGCGUGAGGAAAGUCCGAGCUCCGCAGGGCAGGGUGCAAGCUAACGGCUUGUGGAGGCGACUCUAAGGAAAGUGCAACAGAAAGAUACCGCCGCGGGAUCUGUCCCGCGGUAAGGGUGAAAAGGCGAGGUAAGAGCUCACCCGCCUCUAUGGAGACAUAGGGGCGCUGUAAACCCCACCCGGAGCAACGCCUGACCGGGAGACUAAGCUUGCCCGGCAUCUCCCAAGAUUGGCGGCUGGAGGCGCGCGGCGACGCGCGUCCAAGAUAGAUGACCAUCCUAAUGACAGAACUCGGCUUAUUC
rnacentral:RNase_P_RNA from 1 species